AUGAUGCAUCGACAUUCACUCAAACAAAAAGAGACUAUUGAUGCAUUGCCAUUCCCUCAAAAAGAUAAGAGUAAUGAUACAUUAGCUAUGCUGCUAUACGAAGGAACCACUGGCAUCACUCUUUUCUCUUUUGAUGGGAGCUACCUCAUUGAUUCAGUGAAGGACUUCUGGACAUGCUUGCCACCACUUAGUUUGAUAGUAUCCAUGAAGUAUGAGAAGGUGCCCACCCCCAUUGACCUUGUUAAUGAGGCUAUUGACAAUCGUCUGUUCAGGAGGCUCAUCAAGUUGUGUGGUUCUGAGAAGACAUUAGUUGUCGGAAGUGCUAAAUAUAAAAGAAUAAUUGAAACAAUACUGGAAAUAACCUAUUUGUGUGUAGAGGUUCCUGAUUCUGGGGUGAUAAUUCGCAGCCUGAAGAAUCCCAUGCAGUCAGUUAAGAUUAAUGUUGUAUUGGCUGUGCUGCUGUACCAAGCACCGUCUGGCAUCGCAAUUUUCUGUUUUGAUGGAGAUUACCUCAAAGCUCCAAUGAAGCACUUCUGGGCAUGCUUACCACAACUUAGUCUCGUAGCAUUUAUAAAGCGGGAGAAGAUGCCGACCCCCAUUGACGUUACUAAUGAGGUCAUUGAUGGUCGCUUGGUCAAGAGGCUCAGUCAACUGUGUGGUUCAGGUAGAAAAUUAGUUGUGGGAAGUGCUGAAUAUAAAAGAAUAAUUGAAACAAAACUGGGAGUAACCUGCCUACAUAUUGAUGUUCCGGAUUGUGAGGUGAAAAUUUGCGGUCUGAACAAGCCCAUGUGUCCUUUAUUGCCUGAAGAACAGUUUGAGCCAGAUAAAAAUUUAGAAUUAUUCUUACAUCAACGUGACUUUGAUAUCAAGCUUGAGAUGGUUGAUAAAUCUAUGAAGGAGACUGCUUAUCUCUUGCAUGAUGUUGAAUCAUGUGAAAAGAAGUAUAUGAAGUUCUUUCGACUUCUUCUAAAGGAUUUCAUUCUUACAUCUGAAAUUGACACCAAGGAUUGGGUUUUAAUCCAGUUUGCAACGGCUUUGAAGAUGAUAUGUUACCCUGGAGCAUCAUAUAAAGUCUUAGCCCCUGAUGAGAUUUUCUCAUUUGGUGAGUGCUCAAAGAUAGAGGCUCAUGCAUCUAGAUAUAAAAGAAGCUUUUCAAAGAUUGAUGUCUUGUCUAUCUACAAACAUGUUGCUAGACUCGAUUCAAGAAAGUGCAUACUAAUGAUCAAAUUGGAUAUCUGGAUUUAG
rnacentral:rRNA from 1 species